rfam:Tursiops truncatus cont1.179170, whole genome shotgun sequence.
AAAAGGAGCCAUAAAAUUCAACUUCUGCUAGCCAUUCUUUCCCUUUUUGCUCUCCAUACACCUCAGCUGGGAAUCUUUAUAUGUGCAGUAUUUAUUUGGCUUGUGUUAUCCUGGUCAUUAUAAAGUUAUCUAGGAGGCUAAGAGAGCUGACCAACUGAGAAGGGAAAGCAGUCUGUUCUGACAGUGAUGACAAAAGGAGUUCAAGUCAUACCAAACAUCUUUCUCCCAUUUAGAAACAUCCUAGUAUUUAAGACCUAGUAUUUCAUUUCUCUCUACUCCCAUAUUUGUGUUCUCUGUUCUUA